GCCUCUGUAGCUCAAUUGGUAGAGCACUCGUUUAGUAAGCGAGAGGUAUUGAGAUCAAAACUCAACGGAGGCA
rnacentral:tRNA from 1 species